rnacentral:rRNA from 1 species
CAGUAGCCGCGGUAAUACGUAGGUGGCAAGCGUCGUCCGGAAUUAUUGGGCGUAAAGGGCUCGCAGGCGGUUUCUUAAGUCUGAUGUGAAAGCCCCCGGCUCAACCGGGGAGGGUCAUUUGAAAUUGGGAAACUUGAGUGCAGAAGAGGAGAGUGGAAUUCCACGUGUAGCGGUGAAAUGCGUAGAGAUGUGGAGGAACACCAGUGGCGAAGGCGACUCUCUGGUCUGUAACUGACGCUGAGGAGCGAAAGCGUGGGGAGCGAACAGGAUUAGAUACCCCAGUAGUCCCUGUCUCUUAUAC